AUGUGUCCUCCCUGAAAUUCGUGGUAAAAGCUCAAUGGGAAUCAUAAAUUACGGUUCUACAACGGUAGUUUUAGAUUUCCCACGUGGGAGUAAUGUAAUCAUAAAGAAAAUAGUGACAUCGUUUACCAUUCUUAUGAGCACUGGGAAGUGAAGAAUUAUUUUCUGCGAGAACACUUCAAGGAGAUGCACAACGAAGAUCCUCCUGAAGGAAAUGCAUCAUCAUGGCAAUCAUUGACUUGUCAUUCAUUGAAAGAAAAGCGUUGCAAACAAACCGUUGUUGUCUGAGGUAUCCAGGCUUUAUGUGGUAUAAAUGCUAUAGAUCUGACUUGUUCUCCAUCAAUACCCAAAGCAGAUGCCGCUCGCAGUACGGAGGACUUGGGAAGUAAGGGAGGAAGAUCUUUUUCCACUUUACUUUCCUAAGGUAUGAAAUCUCGUUUUUAAUGAUAAAUAGAAAAAAUCGAAAAGAUUUUUAUAUUUUGUUAGCGAAAACGUACUUCCUUAUCUUGUGAUGAACAAGAAGUGUCAGUUUUACUCUUUUUAUUACUGGCAGACUUCACUGUUUUCUUCUUAGCCGAGCUACCACCACCUAAAACAUGAAAGAAGAAGGAAAAAACACAAGCACAUGUUAAGAUAAAACCAUGAUUUACAUAAACAAACCUUUUUUCCCUUUUUUCCCUUUUUUGUUCUUGUCAACUGGAGGUGGAAUCUCAUCCCAACGUUUUUGAACAACUUCAAUGACUCUUGGAUCAGCGUACGCCUUCGCUAUAUCUAAUGCCGUGUCACCUUUCUUGUUUUCCAGCUGAACUUUGGCGCUAAAGAAAAUAAAAUACACUUUUAAAACAUGCAAUUUUUGAGGAAAUAAACAGUGAUUUUAAUUUGAAGUGGACAUAACGACGUAUAAAACAUGAACUCUCACCCUUUUGAAAUUAAAUAGCAUACAACAUCUA